rnacentral:rRNA from 1 species
GAGAUUGAACGCUGGCGGCAGGCCUAACACAUGCAAGUCGAGCGGUAGAGAGGUGCUUGCAUCUCUUGAGAGCGGCGGACGGGUGAGUAAUGCCUAGGAAUCUGCCUAGUGGUGGGGGAUAACGUUCGGAAACGGACGCUAAUACCGCAUACGUCCUACGGGAGAAAGCGGGGGACCUUCGGGCCUCGCGCCAUUAGAUGAGCCUAGGUCGGAUUAGCUAGUUGGUGAGGUAAUGGCUCACCAAGGCGACGAUCCGUAACUGGUCUGAGAGGAUGAUCAGUCACACUGGAACUGA